ensembl:lncRNA
UGAUCACAGCAGAUUUCUCACUGUUAUUCACCGUUAUCUCACUGCAGUAUGAAGGACAGGACACACUCAGUGCUUGCAUGGAUGUCCAAAUUAACCUCUCUUAAUGAUGUUGUUGCCGUUUCGAGACUUCUGCUAAGAAAAAAUAAUUCUUCGCACAAAUAGAACUUUAAAGUUUCAGGUGUUGAUUAGCAAUGCAUUUCCAAUGGUUAAGUGAACGGACUACUAAUACUAAUGAUACGAAAGAUGUGAAUUAUGGCAACGGUCAUUACACGACAGGUAUGAGAUGUUGUCUAUUCGUAAAGCAUCACCACUACUUCCUUUGCGGACAAUGCCUCCUCCGUCAACUAGAUGGCAGUGACGCCUUACAAACAACAUCUCAGCAACCUGAUCGCCACCACAGAGAAAAGACCACAACAGAUAUGGGCUAACUUUAGCCUUUUGGAAUAAUCGUAAUCUUGAUCAAUUAAGCACCCUUGUCAACAACGGAGCACGCGCUCUAUUAAAUUAAAUCAAUAGAAUAAUGUGGUGUAAUGGUAAAUUGACAUGUCCGAUGUUCCGGUUGCAUAAUAGCCUACGAUGUAAACUCCAGCAACGCAGAGCAACGCCUGUCGGUGUCAGCAGCCAACAUCCAGGUGAAUUGUGACAUUAAAUUGCCCGAUGGAGGAAUAUCGUUGGACUGGUGCUCAAGAGCAGAUUUGCAAGGAUAACGAAAAACAAUCCAGCAGCUACGGGCCCGCUAUUAUAGCUUGUGACGCUUCGUACAAUGACAAGCUGGAAGAUGACGAACUUGCGCGAAAAAAGAAAGAGUUGCAGUUUAUCGAGGAAAAGAUAGCUCGCAAGAGGGCUGCAAUUGCUUUGAAGAAUGAAUGGCAACGAACGUCUAUGUACAGCGAAAAUGAUGUAGACAAACAAUCGAACAAUGACAUUGAGGUAAAAGAAAAGCACGAAACAUCCUCAGGCAAUAAUUUUCCACAGCGGCAACCCCAUCAGGAGGCUGUUCAUCUCUCAGCGAGACAAAUCAGUAUUCUCAAUGAGUUGACACCGCUGUUAGUGUCCUCCUUUGAACCCUCUAAUCCUGCCCCGCCUUCAUCUAUGAAAAGUUUUGUGGAGAGAAAUGCCAAAAUCUUCCAGAGAGAUUUCGAGCAAAAACAGAACCCUGAAUCAGACGCCAACACAACCCUCACCCAAGAACUGAGGGAGGCACUAAGACAUCACCACAACUCAGAGCUAGCGUCAUCUCUGGUUACCAAGCAGAGUGCAUCUGAACAGCCCGAUCUCUUCAACACACAGGGAACCCACGACAGUGGACCACCAUCGACAUCGAAUGGCUUUGAUCGUUUCCUCAGUGUUCUUAACCAAGGGGUAGAUGUAGGGAG